rnacentral:rRNA from 1 species
UACGUAGGGUGCGAGCGUUAAUCGGAAUUACUGGGCGUAAAGCGUGCGCAGGCGGUUCGUUAUGUCCGAUGUGAAAGCCCCGAGCUCAACUUGGGAAUGGCAUUGGAAACUGGCGGGCUGGAGUGUGGCAGAGGGGGGUGGAAUUCCACGUGUAGCAGUGAAAUGCGUAGAGAUGUGGAGGAACACCGAUGGCGAAGACAGCCCCCUGGGCCAACACUGACGCUCAGGCACGAAAGCGUGGGGAGCAAACAGG